UUAAUUUGUUUAUUGUUGAUUGAGAUUGAUCCUGUCUUUUUGAAUUGGUUGUUAGGUAGUAUUAAAUAUAAGUUUUUGCGAGUUCGUUAAUUAUCUAUCUUAAGGAUAAUAAUUAAUUUUAUUUUUAGUUUUUUAUUUUAGGUCUAAUUAUGUAAUUAUAUAUCUAGUUAAUUUAUUUAAAGUUGUUGAAUGUUGUGCCAGCAUACGCGGUUAUACAGCUGACUUUAAUCAAUUUUAUUGGUGUUCAUUAAUUUAUUUAUUUUGAUGAUUAGUUUUUAUUUAUAAGGUGAAAUUUUUAAUUUAUUUACUUAUUUUGGUUUACAAGAAUUUAUGAGAAAUUUAGGUUUUAAACUAGGAUUAGAUACCCUAUUAUUCUGAAUGUAAAAUUUUAACCAUAGUAUUAGUAGUUAUGAUCUUUAAAUUAAAAGGAUUUGGCGGUAAUUUAGUCUUUUCAGAGGAACCUGUUCUGUAAUCGAUAAUCCACGUUGGAUUUAACUUUAAUUUUGGUUUGUAUAUCUCUGUCAUUGAAUGUUUUAUUAGGAUAUUUUCUUUUAUUAUUAUUUAUUUAAUGUCAGGUCAAGGUGCAGUUAUUUUAAAGGUAGAGAUGGGUUACAUUUAAUGCUA
rnacentral:rRNA from 1 species